rnacentral:tRNA from 1 species
GGAUCUGUGGCGCAACUGGAUAGCGCAGCCGUCUUCUAAACGGCAGGUUGCCGGAUCGUACCCGGCCAGAUCCUCCA